rnacentral:rRNA from 1 species
AUUGAACGCUGGCGGCAUGCCUUACACAUGCAGGUCGAACGGCAGCGCGGACUUCGGUCUGGCGGCGAGUGGCGAACGGGUGAGUAAUACAUCGGAACGUACCCUGUUGUGGGGGAUAACUAGUCGAAAGAUUAGCUAAUACCGCAUACGACCUGAGGGUGAAAGUGGGGGACCGCAAGGCCUCACGCAGCAGGAGCGGCCGAUGUCUGAUUAGCUAGUUGGUGGGGUAAAGGCCCACCAAGGCGACGAUCAGUAGCUGGUCUGAGAGGACGAUCAGCCACACUGGGACUGAGACACGGCCCAGACUCCUACGGGAGGCAGCAGUGGGGAAUUUUGGACAAUGGGGGCAACCCUGAUCCAGCAAUGCCGCGCGUGUGAAGAAGGCCUUCGGGUUGUAAAGCACUUUUGUCCGGAAAGAAAUCGCGCUGGUUAAUACCUGGCGUGGAUGACGGUACCGGAAGAAUAAGCACCGGCUAACUACGUGCCAGCCGCCGCCGUAA